UACGGGGGGGGCAAGCGUUGUUCGGAAUUACUGGGCGUAAAGAGCGUGUAGGCGGCCAAGCAGGUCCGCUGUGAAAACUCGAGGCUCAACCUCGAGACGUCGGUGGAAACCGUUUGGCUAGAGUCCGGAAGAGGAGAGUGGAAUUCCCGGUGUAGCGGUGAAAUGCGCAGAUAUCGGGAAGAACACCCGUGGCGAAGGCGGCUCUCUGGGACGGUACUGACGCUGAGACGCGAAAGCGUGGGGAGCGAACAGG
rnacentral:rRNA from 1 species